rnacentral:rRNA from 1 species
GUAGUCCACGCCGUAAACGGUGGGUGCUAGGUGUAGGGGGUAUUCCACGCCCUCUGUGCCGCAGCUAACGCAUUAAGCACCCCGCCUGGGGAGUACGGCCGCAAGGCUAAAACUCAAAGGAAUUGACGGGGGCCCGCACAAGCAGCGGAGCAUGUGGCUUAAUUCGACGCAACGCGAAGAACCUUACCAAGGCUUGACAUACACCGAAAACUCGUAGAGAUACGGGGUCCGCAAGGGCGGUGUACAGGUGGUGCAUGGUUGUCGUCAGCUCGUGUCGUGAGAUGUUGGGUUAAGUCCCGCAACGAGCGCAACCCUCGUUCUAUGUUGCCAGCGCGUUAUGGCGGGGACUCAUAGGAGACUGCCGGGGUCAACUCGGA